UACCGAGUGCGGGCCCUCGCGGCCCAACCUCCCACCCUUGUCUCUAUACACCUGUUGCUUUGGCGGGCCCACCGGGGCCACCUGGUCGCCGGGGGACGCACGUCCCCGGGCCCGCGCCCGCCGAAGCGCUCUGUGAACCCUGAUGAAGAUGGGCUGUCUGAGUACUAUGAAAAUUGUCAAAACUUUCAACAAUGGAUCUCUUGGUUCCGGCAUCGAUGAAGAACGCAGCGAAAUGCGAUAAGUAAUGUGAAUUGCAGAAUUCCGUGAAUCAUCGAAUCUUUGAACGCACAUUGCGCCCCCUGGCAUUCCGGGGGGCAUGCCUGUCCGAGCGUCAUUUCUGCCCUCAAGCACGGCUUGUGUGUUGGGUGUGGUCCCCCCGGGGACCUGCCCGAAAGGCAGCGGCGACGUCCGUCUGGUCCUCGAGCGUAUGGGGCUCUGUCACUCGCUCGGGAAGGACCUGCGGGGGUUGGUCACCACCAUGUUUUUACCACGGUUGACCUCGGAUCAGGUAGGAGUUACCCGCUGAACUUAAG
rnacentral:rRNA from 1 species